rnacentral:rRNA from 1 species
CCUACGGGAGGCAGCAGUGAGGAAUAUUGGGCAAUGGGCGCGAGCCUGAACCAGCCAAGUCGCGUGAGGGAUGAAGGUUCUCUGGAUCGUAAACCUCUUUUAUAAGGGCAUAAAGUGUGGGACGUGUCCUAUUUUGUAUGUACCUUAUGAAUAAGGAUCGGCUAACUCGGUGCCAGCAGCCGCGGUAAUAAGGAGGAUCCGAGCGUUAUCCGGAUGUAUUGGGUUUAAAGGGCGCGUAGGCGGCCUUUUAAGUCAGCGGUGAAAGUCUGUGGCUCACCCAUAGAAGUGCCGUUGAAACUGGGGGGCUAGAGUAUGUUAGGGGCAGGCGGAAUGCGAGGUGUAGCGGUGAAAUGCUUAGAUAUCACGCAGAACCCCGAUUGCGAAGGCAGCCUGCCAAGCCAUGACUGACGCUGAUGCACGAAAGCGUGGGGAUCAAACAGGAUUAGAUACCCCAGUAGUC